UACGAAGGGGGCUAGCGUUGCUCGGAAUUACUGGGCGUAAAGCGCACGUAGGCGGCUCUUUAAGUCGGGGGUGAAAUCCUGGAGCUCAACUCCAGAACUGCCUUCGAUACUGAAGAGCUUGAGUUCGGGAGAGGUGAGUGGAACUGCGAGUGUAGAGGUGAAAUUCGUAGAUAUUCGCAAGAACACCAGUGGCGAAGGCGGCUCACUGGCCCGAUACUGACGCUGAGGUGCGAAAGCGUGGGGAGCAAACAGG
rnacentral:rRNA from 1 species